GGGAGGAGAAGAGAGGGAAGGAGGAGAGAAGAAUAGAGGGAUACAGGAGAGGGAAGGAGGAAGAGGGGCCAAAGUAGUUUUGAGCAAAUUGUCAAGAUGAGUCAUUGUAUUAUCGUUUAAUAAACUUCAAGGAAUCUCUAGCUAACAGGCAACCUCUAGCUAACAGGUAACCUCUAGCUAACAGGUAACCUCUAGCUAACAGGUAACCUCUAGCUAACAGGCAACCUCUAGCUAACAGGUAACAGGCAACCUCUAGCUAACAGGUAACAGGCAACCUCUAGCUAACAGGUAACAGGCAACCUCUAGCUAACAGGUAACAGGCAACCUC